AUUAUUAAAAUGCAUCGCAGGUAGUAUGUAGUGGGUGCAUAUGUCGAAUAGGUUUAAAUUGGCUCUUUGCUGAGAAGUGAGGAGAAUUAAUAGCGUGAAGAAUUGAUUUAUUAAUCCAAACGAUUAUCCGAUAAGGCUGUCAUCGUUGAUUUGGUAGGAUAUUUUGGUAAUCAAACCUGAAAUGUUUGAUUAAUUGUUAACAUGUAAAAUAUAUGAGGUGUGAAAUAAAAUUAAAUAAUUCUUUGUGAGCGAUGGGGUAUAAUUUAUAAAGAGGGGGAUAAGUUUAGAAUUUAAUUAAUUAGCUGAUAAGUUGUGUUUAGGCUAAGUGUAUUAAAGGUGUAUAGUUUGUUGCUCGUAAUGUUUGCGUUAGGUUCGUUUAAUCUAGAGAAGCGUAAAUAUUGCGCUUAGUCGUACGUCGAUAACUAGUGUUUUCGUAUGAAAAUAGUACGACACUUCAUCACUAAGUGUUUAAUUCUUGCCGGUGUAGCACUAUUUAGAUCUAUGCUAUUCCUGUCUAUAUGCAUUCAUGUGCAUAAUGCAUUUCAUUCAGGUACGUGAAUUAACCACGUGAUGCGGAGAACCAGAAUUGAGUUGACCACAAGAUGGUGCUGAUGAACGGAAUUGAAGAUGGACAGACGAAACAAGUAUCAGAACAAAGGAUGGUCGUCAAGUGAUCGACGUCUAACAAACACUAACGUACUGUUUAUCCCAGGCAAGCCCCGGUGCAUGCAACCCCUUCCUUGUGUUUUUAAAUAAUUUUUACAUACUUUAAGUCUAGCGAAAAUGUGCAUUAGGUUUAUAGGAGUUGCUUGGAAACCCUUUGAUGCAUUGCCUACCUUGAUAUCCAUACCUUUAUAGAUACUUCUGAUGAAGUAUCAAAAUAUGAUUUACAAAAAAUGCUUAUCCCUGCUUAGACCUUGUAGAUAGAGGUUGUCUUUUGCAUUAAGGCCUAGCUCAGGGGUUAUCUUAAGGAAGGAUGACUUCUACCUGCAAGAAUAUUUUCAUUGGGAGCGUGGUGGGAUCUUACUGCAAAGUUCCCUAUAAUGCUCUUUUCAUCCUAAGGAACUGUUGGGGGCCUUCGUCCUCCGAAGGUCCUCAAAAACAUGAUUUGACAAUGUUUUCCAAGUGGAUUAUGUGAACAGGUACCUUCGGACUCAGAAUUACGAACAUGAAGUGCGGUCAGGACGAAGCCUGAACCAGACGAAGGACGGGCUGAUUACCAAGCUCCACGAAGGAUGGUGCACAGCCGAAGCUGUGCGCAGGGAAGCUUCGUCGCGAUAGCAGAGAGGGGAACCGACUUAAAGAUGAAAAGACUACGUGGACCUUGUCAGAUUUCCAUAAGUCAUUGACAAAUGUAAUGGACAUAAAUGUAAUUUUACGUGGGCUGCGUCCCGCGUCUAUAAAUAGAUGAACAGUACUCCCGUACUGUUCACGCUGACUUGGCAUUUGCUUUUGCGUCACGCUUGUACUUUUUAUCUUCUCUCAGGACCGAAGGUACAUUUGUAAUUUGAAAUCAUUUCUAUUUUUCCAUGUUAAUAAAAUAGAAAUGAUUCUAUGAUGAUGCUUAUA
rnacentral:lncRNA from 1 species